UCUAGACUCAGUGGGUACCCGCAAAAAAAUCUAAAAUGCGUAGGUUAAAACCCGCAUAUUGUGUAUAGGGACAGGUAAUUAUCCGCAAAAUUGAACGAGUAUGAGUGUAAGUACGAGUACUAUAGAACCCUACCCAAAUCCUACCCAUUGUCAUCCCUAUACAUUCAGUGUUCUAUGUUUUUACAUUGGCAAUGUUGACAUGUUCGUGUCGGUCUCAAAGUCUUUGCUUCAUAGGUUAUAAUUCUAGAUAUAAAUAGUCUGUACUCCCUCUUAUGUUGGUGUUAGUAUGUGGUUUGUUUUGCAUCUAUCUUAUCUUGUUAAAGGGUUAGAUUAGCCUUAUACUCUUUAUCAAUAAAUUUUCUAUGUUCUUAAAAUAAAAACAUGGCAAUUGAUAAAAAAAAAAUGUUAUUACCUGAUAAAAAAACAGACAUAGUACAUCACAGUGCCUUUAUUUCCUGCGCUGGACCAACAUUCAUUAAAUAAUGUUAGAACAGGAUUGACAUAUAAACUCUGCAAACAAAUAUACAUACAUCAAGUAAUUAUCUUGUAUCGAUUACAUUUGUUGAGUUUACAAAAUGAAUGGAAAAAAAAAUCCAAUUGCAAUCAAAUAUUUAUGAAAUUGUAAGCUCUAGGAAUAAAAUUAUAAUUGAAACUAUCAGUUAUGAAUAUUACUCCCAAAAUUACACAAAUGCAAUAGCAAUUUGAGGUGCAACUCACACUUUGUUUCUAUUUUGAGUGAUGAAUAUUCUAUAUGAUUGAUCAAUAGACGAAAAAUGGUGUAAUGGGUGACGAUAUCCAAAGUAAUAAUCAAACCUAAAAUCAUUAGAAAUGCAUAAAACAGAGAACUGUGCCUUAUUCUUCUACGUCUAUAUAAAGUCAAAUAGAAAUAGAAUAGAGUGUUAAUAGACAAUACCUUUACGAUUUUGGUUCACAAAAAACUCUUCCACAACUUUGAUUGUGCAAACUGGUGUUGUUUCAAAGGAUAAAAUCUAUGUAUAUAAACAAGCGUAAGCCGUAUUAUUAGGCGAAGGAUAAACUUAAAGGAAAUGCAAGAGGAUGGAUAGAGGAAUUGAAGGGUUACAAUUACAAUGUGAGCAUUCGUUUUGAUGAGCAAGUUGCCGCUGUGUUUCUCAAGUUUCACCACUUCAGUCUUGCCACCAGUUU
rnacentral:lncRNA from 1 species